rnacentral:lncRNA from 1 species
CCGUGAUACUCCGGCCUCAUUUGUCAUCGAUCAUACAGGAAUGGUUUUGCAAUGUAACGCCAACGAUAUCUUUCAUAUGUAUGGAGCCCGUGCUUAUCCUUUCACUGAUAAAAGGAUGGAAUGCCUUUUAAAGGAAGACGCUGAAGCUCGAAACCAUCCCUCCAUUACAAAGCUCCUAGCUUCUUCUGAACGUAAUCAUCUCAUUAACAAGGAUAAUCAGGUAUGAACAUAUAGUAAUAUCUGUUCCCUGUGCCUAAUAGUUAGACAUAUCCAUCAUCAUACUGUGCAUUAGUCUGUUAAAGUAAUAUCAAUUCCCUUUGCCCAACAUUUUAAUGGAGCCAUCAUUUUAUACUUUAGUCUCUGAAAGUAAAUAUAUGUUCUGUUUGCACGCACUUAUGAAUUUUGAUUGUUGUCUAAAUCUUCUCGGAAAGGCUAUUCACACACUUAUGAAUUUCUUAUUGCACACACUUUAGUCUCUUAAAGUCUGUUGUUUGAAUACUUCUUACUUCUAUUCUUAAUAGGCGGUACCCAUUCAUAAUCUUGAAGAUAAGGUUGUAGGCAUAUAUUUUUAUGAAGAUUAUCCAAACCACGCACUUACGUCGGAAAUUCAGAAGGCCUAUGAACAGUUGGCUCAGAAGAAUAACUUUGAAAUCGUGCUUGUUUAUGUUCACGACUCAUUUGCUACUUGUGAACGUACAAGCGAAAAAUCAUACUGGAAAACGUUAAAAAAAAUGCCUUGGUUGGCACUCCCGUUUCAAGACCCUGUUUGUAAAAAGUUGCAGCGAGUUUUUGAUUAUCCUUUGUAUACUUGUGAGGAUGAGGAUGGGCCAGACCAUAGCCUUGUAAUUAUUGGACCGCAAGGAAAAUUUGUUGAACGGUACGGCGCUGACAUAUUAAAAAAUUAUGGUAUCGCAGCAUAUCCAUUCACCCAAAAAGGAGUUGCUAAGUUAGAGGCCGAACGCAUAAAGGAGUUGAAGCUAGACAUGUUCUGGAGCCGAAAGACUACAUUGAUACAAAAAAAUGGGUCCACAGUGAGUUCCUUUGACAUUAUAAUACUUGUUUCCAGGCCAACUCUCCUCUUGCGUAUGGAACCUUUUUUUUUUUUCAUUUUUCACUCUGCUUAUUGACAGUUGUGUUGUACUUUACAGGUUCAGUUAUCGCAACUCGAGGGAAAGAGAAUCAUAGUCAUUGUUGAGGAUGAUCAGCAUAUUCCGGAUGCCAAGUUUUGGCGGAUGCUAAGAGCAAGGUAUCUCCAAGUGAAAGGCACUGGUAAUGAGUUUGAAGUGGUUCACAUAUGUAAAAACAAGGAAAGACAUUCAUAUGGUAAGAACAUUGCGCCUAUUUCAUGGCUGAGACAUCCUUCUCGGCAUCCUUCUCAUCGAUACGGGUUAAAUGUACUCGAGAUCUUCACUCGUGUAUUUAGAAGAGGAAGUGUUGUUGGACUUCUUGCUUUUGAUCGUGAUGGAAGGCUUGUGAGGAGAACACCGUAUCCAUCAAUUGUAAAGGAGAAUGUAGAUUUUCCUUUUGGUGUCAUGGAAGAGGAGUUCUUGAGGGAACUAGUAGAUCGUGAGCUUGACUAUUAGGCUUGUGGAAUUGUCCUAAAAACCUUAAUUUUUGUGUGUAACAUAUAUUGGCAUUCAGACUCGUGGAUUAUCUUAGAUAUCGUCCUCUUAUAUAUUCUCUACUCAAGCUUCUGUAAGUUAAGAAGUCAGUUUAGCUUUCCUUUUCUUACAGUUAUAUACAUACACACACCAAUGAAACGGAGAUCAUAAAAUGAGGAUCACGUAGUACCCUUGAAAUGAGAUGUUACAUAAGGUUAAUGUCUUUUAUGACUGAUUCAAUUUGAUUAAAAUUCAUAUUUGAUAAAUCAAUUAUUUUAUUAAUUAAUAAAUUAUUAAAAUCUCGGCUUGGGCUCUUUGAAUAAAUUAAUAACUCACUUCAAAGCACAUCACUCACUAAACUCUCACUAAACUCUAAAGAGAAUAUAACUAAAUUCUCCCACAACCCCACCUUCUCCUCCAACCCAACCUGCCCCCACCAUCAUUUCCGGCAACUUCAUGCCGCCACCCCAUCCAUGUCCACCGCCCCUCUAUAUCCGCCGCCUCUCCAUGUCCACCUUCAUCGUAUCUACAACCAACGAAUCCAACCCACCUCCACCUUCUCCUUCAUCUUCUCCUCCUCCACCACCUCCAAUUGCGUGAACUCCACCUCUGUCGUCCUCGCCUUCAUCUUCACCGCCACCUCCACCAUCUCCACCAUCGCCACAACCACCCGAAUCAAAUACAAGAACAGAUCUGCAGAUUUCCCUAAUUUCUGGGAGUUUUCACCAAGUUUUGCAACACAAAUCACUAAAUUCUAAAAAAAAUAUCACUCAUUUCUGAAGCGCAUAUCACUAAUUUGUACAGCAAAAAUUAUCAAUUUUUGUAAAUAUAUCAAUGGGUAUAUCAAAACUUUAACAACAUUAUAAUAUAUGACAGAGUCUAGUCGUUUAUGAGAUUAAGAGAGAGAUCGUCGAAAAAUGAUCAGAGGAGGGGAAGGGAAAAGACGAAGGUGGUGAUGAUAGAGAGAAGACGGAGUUGGUGAUGGUGGAGAGAGAGAGAGAGAGAGCGAGGAUAGUGAUGACGUGGAGAGGGAGAGACAAAGUUGGUACUGCAGAUCAGGGACGUAUCCAGAAAUUCAAACUCGUGGGGGCAAAGAUUAAAACAAGGGACUUUGUGUUGCUCGUAAAAAGAGAUUAAAGUGGGGGGGGGGGGGCACGAGCAAUGUUUGUUGCUUAUGAUUUGUUUGCUUUCUGUUAUUAUUUUGGGUGCAUCUUACUGCCAAAGAGCUGGGCUGAGAGCUGAGUUUUACCAAAAAUAAAUAAAGAGCUGGGCUGAGUGCUGAGUUUUACCAAAAAAAGAAGGUUGUAGCCAUACAAGAAUCGAACCCUGACUAUCUUCAAAGUACUCUGAUGCUCCAACGACCGAGGCAAAGCUCUCACUAGUGGAAAAUGAAUACUACCAGGUAGUUAACUCUAGAAAGUCUACUGGGGGCAAGUACCCCCACUGCCCCCGGUUUAAAUUCGUCCCUACUGCAGAUGAUGGCGGUGAGGUGUGUGGGUGGGGGUAGUAUUGUUGGGCUGGAUGAAAUUUGAUCGAGACAGAUGUGGAUGGCCAGGUGGGUUUGUUUUACUCACGAGAACAUCUCCAAAUUUUUCACUAAUUAUCAAUGUUUAGCUAAAUUCUGAUUACUAUCUAUUUGUUAUUAAUGAAUAAAAAAUUUGUUUUCUCAUUUUUUCUUUAUUUUUUUCCUCUUUUUUGCUUCUUCUUCCUUUCAAAUUUAUUCAUAAAAUAAUAAUAAAGAACAAAAAUAUUAGGGGAUAAGUUCUAUGGAGACCACGUUUUCAUUGGAGACUUGAAGACCAUUUAUGUACUGCAACUAAAAUACUCUAUAAAAACAUUGCAAAACGUAUUAUUUUUCGAAUCAUGUUCUACAAAGAUCAUUAUUUUAUUGACAAUCUUGCAAAUUUUAAACAUUUGACAAAUAAAUCAUUAAAAAACAUAUUAUUUUACAAAAACAUGUUUAGUGUGCAGAACAUUUGUUGAUCUUGCAGAACAUACAUGUUCUGCUUGUUUACCAUAAAUAAUUUUCAACAUUUUCAAUAAAAUAGUAAUAUUUAUCGAAUGUAUUUCGCAAAACAAUAAAUUUGGUAGUGUUUUAAUUGCAGAAUAUAAGUGGUCUCCAAAGUCUCCGAUGAAAACGUGGUCUCCAUAAAACUUUUCUCAAAAUAUUAAUAAGUAUUAGACACCAAAAUAGAUUCCUUAUCUAAAUAGAAUUCACUAAUACUAAUUAUUCCUUCUUUGGGGGCUUUGGGCAGCGGACUAUAUAGCUCCGAAAUUACCCUCUCUUCCAAAGCUCCAAAAUCAGCGGAGAUAAAAUUUCAAACCUCGGAAGAAGACUGAAAGCAAAGAGUGAAGGAGGCGAUGAAGAAGUCAGAUAUUAGCUUGAGGAGCUGUUCGACCCGAAAAAGAAAGAAGAUUGAAACUGAUGAUGAAAAGGGUAAGAACAAGAAAGUAAAGAUUCAAACUUUAAGUCAUGAAACCCUAGAACAAGGUGGGGAUGAGAGUGCUGAAGCUAUUAGGUCAGAUAUGAGCUUGAAGAGUUGUUCAAUUAGUGAAAGAAAGAACAAUGGGUCUAAGGAUGAAAAGGGCAAGAAGAAGAAGAGUAGUAAAAAGAAGAUUAAGAAGAAGAAAGGUUCAUACAUGAUUAAUUUAUCAGCAUUGAGGUUUGGGAGGUUUGUAAGACGAAAAAAGAAAACAACUCAGUCUUGUGUUAAUGAUUCUGGACCACAGUGGGUGGUGCAAAAACAUCCAAAGGCAGUUAGAGAGGGAGAUAGGGUUAAUUUACAACAACUUCUGUUUACGAGGGACAGGGAUUUUCUCAUCACUUAUAAUAACCGCCGGGUACUGUUUAUCAAUUUGUCUUUGUUACUUAAUUUAUGUUUUUCUAAUGCCUUAAACUGAGAUUAUAUAUGUGUACUCAAGCUUUAGUUUUCAUAAUAUUUGUUGUACCUUACAUUUUUAAAAAACGUUAAUUUAGCACAAGCUCACAUUGCCUUUCUGUCUCUGUACAUUUUUGCCACUUGCACACACCAAACACGUGUUCUGGUUUAUCCAAAUCAUGUAGUUAUCUAACUAACUUACUACUGUGCAAGAUCUUCUCCCGGAUUGUGUAGAUUAUUAUAUUUUUAUUUGUUAUAAUGACCUCAACCGUCCGGUACUGUUUAUGAAUUUGUCUUUGUUACUUAAUUUAUGUUUUUCUAAUGCCUUAAACUGAGAUUAUAUAUUUUUACUAAAGCUUUAGUUUUCAUAAUAUUUGUUGUACCUUACAUUCUUAAAAAACGUUAAUUUAGCACAAGCUCACAUUGCCUUCCUGUCUCUGUACAUUUUUGCCACUUGCACACACCAAACAAGUGUUCUGGUUUAUCCAAAUCAUGUAGUUAUCUAACUAACUUACUCCUGUGCAAGAUCUUCUCCCGGAUCGUGUAGAUUAUAUUUUUAUUUGUUAUAAUGACCUCAAUCGUCCCGUACUGUUUAUGAAUUUGUCUUUGUUACUUAAGUUAUGUUUUUCUAAUGCCUUAAGGCUUAAACUGAGAUUAUAUGUGCACUCAAGCUUUAGUUUUCAUAAUAUUUGUUGUACCUUACAUUUUUAAGAAACCUUAAUUUAGCACAAGCUCAUUGCCUUCCUAUCUCUAUCUAUUUUUGCCACUUACACACCAAACAAGUGUUCUGGUUUAUCUAAAUCAUGUAGUUGUCUAACUAACUUACUCCUGAGCAAGAUCUUCUCCCGGAUUGUGUAGAUUAUAUUUUUAUUAUGUUGUAGGUCCAAGCUAAGCACCUGGAAAACAAAGUUAUUGUCUUACAUUUUGUGCCACUUGUUCCGUGGUCCGAAUAUUGGAUGAGAUUUGAAACAACAAUCUUGCUGGAUGUAUACAAUGCUUUGCUCCCUAAAGGUGAUUUCGAGGUCGUUUUCAUUGGAGUUGAGCUCGAUACUGCUAAUGCGGCCUCCAACUGUCCUACUCCAAGGGAAUGUUUUGAAAAUAAAUUUUCUAUCAUGCCGUGGAUUGGGAUCCCGUUCUCAGAUGUCAAAUCCCGCACAGAUUGGGAAACAGUAUUUCCCCUCUCUGGUUUUCUUACCCGUGAUACUCCGGCCUCAUUUGUCAUCGAUCAUACAGGAAUGGUUUUGCAAUGUAACGCCAAAGAUAUCUUUCAUAUGUAUGGAGCCCGUGCUUAUCCUUUCACUGAUAAAAGGAUAAAAUGCCUUUUAAAGGAAGACGCUGAAGCUCGAAACCAUCCUUCCAUUACAAAGCUCCUAGCUUCUUCUGAACGUAAUCAUCUCAUUAACAAGGAUAAUCAGG